rnacentral:rRNA from 1 species
UACGGGGGGGGCAAGCGUUGUUCGGAAUUACUGGGCGUAAAGGGCUCGUAGGCGGCCAACUAAGUCGGACGUGAAAUCCCCAGGCUCAACCCGGGAACUGCGUCCGAUACUGGCAGGCUUGAAUCCGGGAGAGGGAUGUGGAAUUCCAGGUGUAGCGGUGAAAUGCGUAGAUAUCGUAAGGAAGACCAGUGGCGAAGGCGGGUCUCUGGACAGUUCCUGACGCUGAGGCACGAAGGUCAGGGGAGCAAACGGG